rnacentral:misc_RNA from 1 species
CCAAGUGGUCAGCAAAGCAUGGUCUUGGUAGUGGAUCUGAUUCGACUGCGAAUAAGAGAACCCGACUCGGAGUCUCUGGUGAAUAUAGUUCUGGAGGCACUGAAGACACCGAGGAGGAAGUGCCCCGACCAGUGGGGCGUGAUAGGGCAAAGGCGGCUGCGCGAAAGACAAAGACGAAGGGGAAAGGGAAGGAAGCCACGAGCAGCGAAUCAACAAGUGAAGCAUUCAAAAUGAAGAACUUGUGGGGUGGAUUAGUGAAGGCCAAGCUUUUGAAGCAAUGGAACAUCCUAAAGGACCGAUCAACCAGAGAUAUGGACCC